GGGGUCGACUGGUUUUGACAGCAUGUAGAAGUGGUGUGUAAGCAUGCAGAGCCAUGAUGCCUACGCUCUAUAAUAUCUUGACAUCAAAAAUUUAUCUGGCGAAAAUAACUACGCUCUUGCUGCUUGAUUGAAGCAUAGUAGAUCAGCUUAAUCUCCGCCACAGUGGCGGAGACAAGACAUCACCCGAUUGCUCAUUUCCCGUAGCUUAUCGACUCGGUGGUGCUCAUUAAUCGGGAAUAGGGACAGUUUUGUCUGGGAGCUGUUCUGAAAUUUUACAGAAUAAGUUGCAGAUUGGUCGCCAUGAUCCAGUCUGCUUCCGACAAUCAACUCAUGGAUAAGCAUGUAGAAAGCUCAUUAGUUCCAUGUUUGGACGAGGGUUCGAAUCCCUCCGGCUCCACA
rnacentral:tmRNA from 1 species